CGGAGCGCCGGAAUCUGUUGAGGGGAGCGGCAGCCGCUACCGUUCCUGUGGCCGUGGCAGCCUUUUUCGGGUGGGAGCGUCUCUCGGAGAGUCAGAACUAGGGAAGACAGAGGGUGCCCACCUGCGUGCGCCCGAGCUCCCCCUUGCACUCUCCGAAUCCAAACUUAGCUGGAUGCACAGUGGAAGUGCCUCCUAGCUCGGACCUCUGCAUUUGUAGGGGGUCUUCUAAAAACCGGGCUGGCAGCAUGGGCCCCCUAGUGUAACUGCCUUUACAACAAGUAGGGGGGCCUGCCAUCUGGAGUGGCCUCUCCCGUAUUCGCAACCCUGUGGUUGCUUUGAGGCCUAUCUCAGAUGCCGUCUCCACCGUGCAAUUUUUCCAGGUGCCCACCCGCAUCCAGAUUUGAUUUCGCCCUCUUUUGGACUGCAGGGGCUCUCUGAACCUCUCUGCCGGCCCUGCCUUUGGGUGAGAGCGCACUGUGAAAUGCAACGGGCCAUCUCCAAACACGGUUUGGGCUCUGGUUGAGUGGUGAGAUGGAGCAGCUCAAGGACACAUAGGAGGGGAAGAUGGGAGGGGCCACUCCAAAGUGCUCUUCAGUAGAGAUGACGAAUUGGAUCUGUUACCAAAGUCUUACUACUCAAAACAGGGCAGCCAUUGAAGAGUUCCAAGUACCACCCUAAAUUCUAGCCAUUCUCUCCUUAUUCAAAAGGAACUGGAUUCAUUUACUUCAAGGAACGUAUUUAUUAGAGAAACGGAGAAAAGUAAAGAAAUGAUGAACUCUGUUUUGAACCAUUCUGAACAAUGUGAGAAAUGGAAAAGAAAAUGCAGAUUAUCUUUAUGGCCGCUACUCACCCUCCAUGAAACUAUCUGAAAUGAGAGCUGCCUGUCCUAAGGAAGACAUGUCGACACAUACCCCACGUCCGAAGAUUAGAGAUUCCCUGAGGGCACGGACUGCUCGCCUCAGUGCCUUGCACGGAGCACCAUACAUAAUUGAUGCUUAAUACAUAUUUGAACAAAUGAAUCAACAGCAACAGCAAUAAAUCUUCUGAUAAAAGACCCUGAACCUGAGGUAUCAGAGAUUGCCCUGAUACGAAUCAUUUCCUUUUGGUUUUAGAUAAUGCAAUCCUCCAUCUCUGGUCCCAGGUGGGGGAGGGAAACCAAUCAAUGCAAAACCCUCUAAAUUCUGGAAAGAUUUUAGCAGAUCCAGGAGUUUUUAUCUACACAUAAUAGGUUGCAAAGCAAAUACCAAAAAUUCCAAUUAUUCCACGUUUAUAUUUUAGUAAAUACUUUGCUCACAAAAAUCUGAUGUGUAAAUCUGAAGGCUAAGUUGUGUAGUUUAUUGAGAAAAAGACACAAAGAAAACAAUGGCAGUAGAAACUUCUUCAAAACUGCCAAUUAAAGCACUUUACCUUGACCUCAAAGACAAAGUAAAAAUAUUGGUGAAAAAUACCAAAUAUAGAAUAUUUACUUAACUGUUAAGACAGCAGAUAAAAUAAUGAAAGGGAAGAAAGUUGUGCACUUACUUAGAACGUCUCCAUUAGGCUGUGUACAAACUGCUUUCAUGUAGAUUAUCUAUUUAAUAUCUAGAGCCGCUGGGUGACAUUGGUGUUAUUAACUCUAUUUUACAGAUCAGUAACUGGGGCUGAGGGAAUCUGAGAAACUUGGACAAGAUCACUUGUUUAAUGUGUGGAGGAGCCAGGCUACAAAUCUAGUUCUAUCUAACUCCAAGUCCCAUCUUCUUUAAUUAUGCUGGUUAAGUAUCAAAGAUGUAGCUGAGCCACGAAAAUGAGGUAUCAAAGAUAUCUCAUUUUAAUACAUUUUUAAUGUAUUAUAAGUAAAAUUAAUAAUUUAUUCACUCUGCAGAUGUCUUUUAGUGGUUAUAUUAUUGUUCAAAGCUCAUAUAUUAUAAUAUGCAGGAUGGGAAUAGAGGCACAUAAUUGUACUAAAUGGCCUUGGAAGUGCAGUAUAAAACAGAUUAGAUUUGGGACAUGUGAAAAUCCCCAAAUAAGUUAUCACCCAAUUAAAAAACACUGAGGUUAUGAUUUGGUAACCUUCUGGAAGUGGUACAUCAAGCUACUGAUACCUGUCUUCCUCAUAAGAGGUUGGAGUUGACAGGAUAGGAAGGGGAGGUAUUUAAAUUCUUUACUUAGUAACUCACUUUUUCUCUGUAACGUUUGCUUCUUCUAUUUAUAAAAUGGGAAAAAAUAGUACCCACUUGGUGCAUAUGUAAAACAAGAUGAUGUAUAUAAAUUGCUUAUCAGAA